CUUCCCCUAGCCAAGCAAAAAAUGAGGACAAGGACCCCUGCCCUCAUGAGGCAACUGCAGAUGGAAAAGUCCAGAGUGGGAACUUUUUCUGAAGUGGAUUCCACAGAAUGAGGAUUCGCCAUCCCAGGGGCCUCACACAGUCCCUCUGGGUGGGCAGGAUGCCUGCAGAAGCUGAGGUCUCCCGGGGAGCAAAGACCAGAGGCCCACAUCCCUCUCUGCUGGGAGCAGACAUCCCUUCCUGAAGAAGAACCUUGCAACGGGCCAGCCCCCCAUCAACAGGGCAGCUAGUCUGGGCUGUUGAGAUAAAAGCUGCUUCAGGACUGAAUUACCCUGAACAGCUCUGACACCCAGCCAUCUGAGGCAGUUUUUAAUGGCUCCUGUGAUGGCUCCUUGUGUUCUCAGCCACCCUCUGUUCCCUGAGGGAAAGUGAGUAACACAUGAGAGAAGAAAUGUCACAGGAAAAACACCAUCCUGAAAGCAGAACUGUAAAAAUUAAGUUAAGGGAGGUCUCGGGGCUAAUUUGGUUAUUUCCCGAGUUGGAGUCAGGCCAGAGCUGUGUUAAUAAAGUAUUGGAUAUUGAGAUGGGUGCUGUGGACUCACUCAUAUGGGCGUUACACACAACGGGUUUGGUUCUGAGGCUUAAGUGGGUCUCUAA